rnacentral:lncRNA from 1 species
AUUCAAAUGAAACCUGUUGAGCAUGAGUUGGCAUUUCAGUUUAGGAAUGUGGAUGUUAAAGCAAACCUGUGCUGCAGGAAUUGUUUACUCUCAUUAUAGUUGAAUGCUGCAAUCUGCAUCUCAUUGCAUCGAAUGCUGCAAACAGGUCCAUUCACUGUUCUUUGUGGUGUUCAGUCAGCAUGCAGGUCACUCAUUAGCACCACUGGUUUAUAUCCCUCAACCAUUAAAAAAAUGAAUUAUAGCUUGCACAUCUUUCUUGGACAGAUUUUCAAUUAUACCAACCAUCUUCAACAUUAUGUCAUGCAUUUAAAAAUGAUGCAAGUGCACAAUUUAAAAGCACUAUGCAUGCACAAGACACACAGCUUCGCUUUAACAUCUGCAUUCCUAAAUUGAAAUGUCAAUUCAUCACGUGGCACAUUACAUUUGAACACACCAUAUAUUUAUACAAAAAUAGUCUUAUAAAUAAAAUGAAACAAAUAAUAAUUCUGGAUGCAGCAUUAUAUUAUCAGAUAAACUGUCCCAUUGAUAAUUUUGAAAACAAGGU